rnacentral:tRNA from 1 species
CAGAGCAUAGUUUAGGUAGAAUACCGGCUUUGGGGGUCGGUGGUGAAGGUUAAAGUCCUUUUGUUCUGA